UUUUCUUUAGCUUAAGUUUAAAGCGUCAGUUUGAAGCACUGGAGAUAAUUUUUGGUUAAGGCGGU
rnacentral:tRNA from 1 species